CGUGGUUCUUGUAGAUGCCAAGUGGACAUGAAUCAUGGGAAAAUCUUUUUCCAAUGUUGGAGGCUUCUAAAAUUCCAUUGGAGAUAGUAUUGCUUUUCAAUUCUACUUACCUAUAUUAGUUUAUUUUAGCAUUUAGUUUCCAUGAACAAGUGGAUUGUGUUAAAAGUCGUAGACCCUGUUUCGGUAAGGAAAAUGCAUUGUAGAUUCAGAGAGUAAGAGAAAUUCUCUUGCAGACGGAGAUAAUUAAAAAUAAUUCUUUUAUAGAAUUCUCUUAAAAUAUUCUUCUUUCAUUAAUAAAUAUAUAACAAGCCAUAACCCAUAUUUGUUCUGUUUUAAAGAUUGAAAUCAACUUACUAUGUCCAUUUUAUUAGUUGUUUGGACAUAUAUAUAAGAACCAAGAAAAGGAAGAGAGCGCCCCCAAGGCACAUCCCAACUGAUAAAGAUGAGGGCGCUUCAAGACUGGCAGAUCAAAGGUCGUGAAUUCGAUUCUUGGAAGGCUUUUGGAAGGCAGAUAUUCUCCUGGAAAACAGAAUUUAUCCUGGAAGGCAGGAGCUCUACUGGAAGGCAAGGUGCAAAGAUGGGAAAUGACUUACUUGACACUUUGGCAAGUUAGUUAGGGGGCUUUUGAGCACUGGUCAGUUCGGGGCACAACCUGCGGUUUAACCUGUCUGCAGCUUGAGGGGUUAAGGUGUAAACUCCAAAAUUUAGUCACUGUAAGGUGGAUACCUGGAUAUCAAAAAAAAAAAAAAAAAAGGAAGAGAGCCGUAGAAAAUGUGUUGUAUAAGUAUAAUCAAUUAUUUAGAUUAAUUUAUUGUUGUAUUUGUUGUGUGGUCCGCCACAUGUAAGGUGGACAAAAUCUAUUUUACUACAAAUGUUAUCAAAUUUUUAAGGAAGAGAAAAUCAAUUUUGCUUCCUCAAUCAAUGAAAAAGUUUGACAAAAAAAUGAAGGAAAGUUCAAAUCUUCUUUUCCAACCAAUGGAAAAGUUUGACAAGAAAACAAAGUUGAGUCCAGCUCUUCCAUCCAACAUUUGCUUAUAAAUAGGGUGAGAGAUUGUCACUGUCAGACCCACGGUGCGUCCUGGUGUGUAACGUGACCAAUUAUUUUUUUGAUCAGAUUUCAAAAGGUUAAAGCCAAAGUAGAAGAAUGCCAAAAUCAGAUUUAUCCUUCAAUCUCCAGUUGCCCUUCGCAAAACGGCAUAACCCAUUCAGCCAUUCCAUUGAAGCAAAAAAACUCUUUAAUCAUUACCCUUGGAAGCAAAAGAACUCGAAUUAGCGGAUUCUGUUUGAAGAUUGUAUAAUGGGUUUGUGUUUAAACAUGAAAUGAUGUUGUUUAUGGGUUUGUUUUGGGGAUCGAAGGUCUGUAUAGGCUAAGUGAAUUUAAUUUGUCUAAAUGAAUUGAUAUGUCAUUGUUAUCUUAGUCUGAAACCUUGCUUAUAUGGUUGUUGGGAAAUUGUCAACAUCAAGGGGUUUGGAGAAGAAAAUCGAGAAACAAAAUAUCAAGAAGAUGAAAUGAGUAGAGAUCGAAACAAAAUAUAAAGGCUCAAACAUGAAAUUAAUCUCGCUGUCCUCAAAUGAUAUUUGCCACCUCUUGAAUAUAAUUUUGGUGCUUAAAGGGUUUUAUGGAAAAAUGUUUGUAGGAUUGAUCAAGUUUUGUUGCAGAAAAAUACUAAAGCAUAAAUGUUUUUCCACUCGAAGUUGAAGAACACAAGAAGAAAUUGCUUAAAUAUGGAAGAAAGGAAUAUUGAUCCUUUUUGUGGAAUGAAGUAUAUGUUUUCGUAUGUUUCUCAUGUAUUUACAGUGAUCGUCAAGCACCUAUUUAUAGCCAUGGAAUAAGGCCCCACGAAGUGGUGCCAAAAAUCAAAUGAAAAGUCGCCAAAAUUGAAUCAAAAAAUUGCUUGCAGUUAAUGUCAUCAUUUAUAGAGCUCGAUGGGUGUUUUAUUUCUCAAUAUUGUUCGUGAAAUACUUCCUUGUUUUUGUCAAGUUAGGACAUAAAUGUGUUGUUUGAACUUGAAUAAGAGAUAUACAAUUUAUUUAGGAAUUGUUUGUGUCAAGGAUAAGGCCUGCGUAUGCGUUAUUGUUUUGUCCAUUCUUAUAUUUGUAUAAGAAUUUAUUCUUUGGGAAUAAAAAU
rnacentral:lncRNA from 1 species